AACGUAGGAGACAAACGUUAUCCGGAGUUACUGGGCGUAAAGGGCGUGUAGGUGGUUUUGUAAGUCUGGCGUGAAAUUUUUCGGCUUAACCGGGAAAGGUCGUCGGAUACUGCAAGGCUAGAGGACGGUAGAGGCGUGUGGAAUUCCGGGUGUAGUGGUGAAAUGCGUAGAGAUCCGGAGGAACACCAGUGGCGAAGGCGACACGCUGGGCCGUACCUGACACUGAUGCGCGACAGCA
rnacentral:rRNA from 1 species